GCCGCUGUAGUAUGAUUCAAUCUCAGUCCUGUAUUGAUGUUUUGCCUGUUUGUGUGUUCGUCGGAGGGCAUAGCGGGAUUUCGUAUAAGCGUCCAGGUUAGAGUCUCCUUGAAAGCGACAGCUCUACCUUUUAGCUCAGUGCGGAUUUUGCCUGUAAUCCAUGGCUUCUGGUUGGGAGCUGGCUUUGUUGGAGACUCUGGACCAGUCGAUAGAUGAGACCCCUCCUGCAGACCAGCUCUCUCGCUUGGGCGACAAGGCCUAUUGUGCCUGGUACUCUCAACCAGUGCUUGGAGAAGUUCCCUGUCAUUCAGCACAACCCGUGAAGCCCUGACGGCCAUGGAAGGAAACCCUGUGUGUGACGGAGAGACCAAAUUCCCAACAAUCCUUGUGGAGGAAUGUUCCACCCUCACACAGCCCACCCCCCCCCAAUUAAUCCCCAAUGUUAGCACACACACACACCCCAAAGCUAAUGAUGCCAAAACAAGAAUCAGUGACUCGAUUUGGUUUUGUUCUCUCCCCUGAAGCAUCCAGAAACUAUUUGUUUGUGUGUGUUCAAGUGCGUAUAUUACUGAAAGCUGUCAGUCAUACUCAAUGCAAUACUAAAAGCGUGUGCACCUUUA